AGUUAUAUAGAUUGUUUUGUGAUAUAAAGUUAAUAUUAAGUAUAGGAAAAAUAAUUUUAGUUUUAUAGUUAUGAAAAAGUAGUCAUUAAUGAAAUUUUAGUUAAUACAAUAGGACAGGAGUACUGAAAAGGAAAUUUUAAUUAAAUAAAAAUUAAUUUAGUAGGUGUAAAUAAUUGUACCUUGUGUAUCAGGGAGGAUCUAAAUAGGUUAAGGAUAAUUAACAAUCCCGAAAUAAAAAUAGCUAAUUUUAUAAAAAAUUUUUGUAGUAAAUAAAUUUUUAAUAUAAAAUUAAAGGUGAAAUGUUACUCGAGUUUUAUUAUAUCUGGUUUUUGAAAAAAUAAAUUUAAUUUAGAUUUUGGAUGAAUAAAAUAUCUAAAGUUAAAGGGUAGAAGGGAUUAUCUUUUUAUCUGAGUUGAGUUAGUAGUUAAUAAAUAAAUAAAAUUUUUCUAGGCUUGAAAGUAGUUAUGAAUAAUAUAGUGUUUUAACAAAAGUAUAAGUAAAAAUGUUUUAUUUUACUCUAUAUGAAUAUUCAAAGAUUUAUUGAAAUUAUAUAAGUGAAGCGUUAAUGAUUUUAUUAGUAUAUUAUUAUAUGUAUAAUAGAAAUUUUAAGUGAUAAAACUCAUUUUAUAUAUUUUAGGAUAUAAAUAAAGGAACUCGGCAAUAUGAUCUUUGCCUGUUUACCAAAAACAUGUCUAUUUGGAGGUAGAAAUAGUCUAGCCUGCUCACUGAUAAUAAAUUAAAGAGCCGCGGUAUAUUGACCGUGCAAAGGUAGCAUAAUCAUUAGUUUUUUAAUUGGGAACUUGUAUGAAUGGUUGGACAAAAGAAAAGCUGUCUAUAUUAUAAGUAUUGAAUUUAACUUUUAAGUGAAAAGGCUUAAAUAAUUUAAAGGGACGAUAAGACCCUAUAAAACUUUAUAUAUUAAUUUAAUUUUUUUGAAUUUUAAGAAUUUAAUUGAGUGUUAUAUUUUGUUGGGGCGACAAAGGUAUAAGUAAUAUUAACUGCUUGGGUUUAUAAACAAUAAUAUUUGUUUUAAUAAGUGAUCCUUUUUAAAGAAUAAAAAACUAAGUUACUUUAGGGAUAACAGCGUAAUUUCUUUUGAGAGCCCAUAUCGAAAAAGAAGAUUGCGACCUCGAUGUUGAAUUAAAAUGUCUAUUUAGAGCAGCCUUUAAAUAAGAAGAUCUGUUCGAUCUUUAAAUUUUUACAUGAUUUGAGUUCAAACCGGCGUGAGCCAGGUUGGUUUCUAUCUUUUAAAAAAAAAUAAUUAUUUUAGUACGAAAGGAUUAAGUAAUUUUAAGAAUUAGUUAAAUUGUAAUAAU
rnacentral:rRNA from 1 species